UUUUUGACAUGCCAGUUUUUAACUUUGUUGUUUCCUUUUUUUUUUUUUUUUCUAGGAAGAAUCCAUAUGAAGGAAAGAGUUUUGAAUUAAUAGAAGACUUCAGUUAAGCUUACCUCCAUUGGGAGCUAAAUCCUCUACACCAAAGAUAAAAGGUCAGCUCUUUGUACAGCAAGGGUUGGGUGAACCUGUAUCCUCUACCCAUAUCAUAUUACAGAGGUCCUUUAUUGCAGUGAUUCCUGAUCUAAGAGAGGAAAGGAAAGAAUCAAAGUGGAAUCAAAGAUCUCAAGACCUAGAGAAGUAGAAACUACUGCACAGUGGCAGACGCCUUGUCCUAUCUCUAUUGAAGUCUGUAAUUCUUUCUCUCAGCCAACACUCCUCUCUUCAAGGAGCUCUGCCUGAUUAGCCCAAGAUCUUGUGGUCCUCAGAGGGAAUUGUUUUCAUAUUUCCUUUCUAUGCUGGAUGUUUUCCAUGAAGUGUUAGCCCUUCUGUAUCCUGACCGUGUUGUCAUCUCUCCAGUUUCUUUUUCCAAUUUAUUUCCGAGUUAGCACGGAAUGGUUGUAUCAGUAUCUGUCUGUGGUGGCUGUCUUGUAUUUCCUGGCAGAGUUCAUUACAAGUGUGAUGCCACCUACAGUGUCAUGGUUUAACAGUGGUACUGAUUGCUUGUGCACUCUAGCAGGCAGUUUUGCCUCAAAAGCCGAAGGCUUUCAAGGAAUAUUUUUUUUUUCCUUGUCAUGUUUGGAUAAAGUGUCGUAGUUGUGGGAGAACACCUAAAGGAAAUCCCUUCAUGGCAUUUAUGUUUGCUCAGUGGAAAUAUAAAGUGAGAUGACUUCAGCAUUGCAGUUUUUCAUCUUACAAAAGAUGCCAUCCAAAAAUCAUGUUUAUUAAGCAUUGUGUUACAUUGUUACAUAUGGAUCACUGUUAAGAUCCUAAUAAGGAUUCUUAAAUUCCUGUACCCUUGCAGCAGAACUAUUAUUGAAAAAAGAAAACACAAAUUCUUCCUGGAAUCAUCUCUCUGUACUGCUCUUAAAAGUAGAUGAUAUCUUCUCUAAUUUACUUUGUAAUCCUAAAAACAACUAACAAAAAGAAUUUUAGCUUCUGUUGAGCUUCCAAAGUUCCAUCUUUUUACAUCUUAAGUCCAAUAUUUCCCAUGCAGAUAAUGAAAUGACAGGAGUAUUUUCACUUCUUAGAUUUAUAGAGUCAUUAAAAUUACUUUGUCUGUACCUUCUGGAAUUUGAGGAAAGACAAUAAGUCUUUUUAUAAAGACCUUCUUUGAAGGUUCAAAACCUGAGAAAGCACAGCCUUAUUUUUUAAGGUUAUUGUCAGUGUCUGUUUAGGAAGGCACGAUGGAAGACUUGUUUGACUAUAUGCUUAAGCUGUGAAAGACUUUUUUUCCCAUUCUACAAGGUUACCCUCUCCUUCUGCCUAUAUACAGUGCAUAUUUUAUCAAAACUUUUUAUUUAUUUAUUUAUUUAGUAAACUUAAAGUCUCCUAAAAAUUUGGAAUUGGAAGACAUUCAGUGAAGCUUUUAACAUAUUACUUCCAGAGGUGCCAGCUACUAGGCCUUUCCCAGGGUUAUGACAAAUUAACCUUCUCUGACGUUAUCUAUUCUUUCUGUUUCCAUCCACAACUCUGCAUCAAUUCCUUGUGUCUACUGUGGUCCAGCUCUGUUCUUCCUUUGCACUUUCUGUGGCAGCAGUGACAGGUCAGGUAUAGCUCUUUGAGUUUCAGGGCAAGAUAUAGAUAAUCAAUCAGCAAUCUAAUAAUGAUUGUCAUGGCUUUUCACAUGUUGUGAGUCCUUAUACUCUCUUCCCAACACAUAAGCUCUUGUCUCACAGAUGAGGGCGAUGAUGCAUCCACUCAUUGAGUGUAUGUCAUCUACAUUCACCAGAUACUCUACUGUGGAUAUCACUAUGGACCUGCAGUGCUCAGGACUCCAGUAUGGUCUUCCAUUUCAGUGGAAAGGAGAAACCCAUGGAGCACCUUUCUUUAAAAAAAGGUUGAGAAAAAUCAUAAGUCAGUCCAACAUGAUUGCUGUCCUGUUCACAGAGUAUCUGGAAGAUUAUUCCAAGGUGCUAUCUGGUGUCUUUGAAAAACUUUUUUCACUAGCUGAUACCCUGCUGAUUUACCAGCCUCCUGUCAUGAAAGUACAUUGGCUAAACCAUGUAACCAGUGUUGUCGUUCUCAUAAGAAUGAUAUUUAAAAAUAGUUAUUCGCCCUUUGGAGAUCCUUUCUUUAUUUUCUACAGUUUUGUUGUUCUAUGUUGAUGAAAUCAAGCAGUUCCAUCUCCAUGAAAAAAAAUCAUCUUUGGCUGAGACUAUUUGUUACAUGCAAAGUUGAUUCUCCACACAUCCGGUUGCCAUACAGUUAUUUUCUUACUGCUAAACUCUUUCUGGCAAAUGGUUAAAGAUUUAACUAAAAAUAGUGAAGAAAUACAGGGUUUCUAUAUUGACCAAGACAACUUUGUGUUUUUUUCCUUGAAGAGGUCACACAAAAGUAGAAAACUGCCAUUGAAACUCAGAAGAAUCUCAUAUUUUAUGUGAAUAUGAAUUAUGUCAAUGAAGAACUAAUUAGAACUGAGAGAACACAGGGCAGUGAGUAAAUCAAAGAUAAAUUUGUACAUCAUUUAUUGUCAGAUGAGUUCUUUCUCUUUGGGGUUGCUCUUCCAAGGGCUUCCCACGUGCAACAAAAUGCACAGAUGCCUGUGAAUGUGUUUUAUGAGUCUUUAUUUUCAUCAUUUCUGGCUGUGGGUUUUCUCUCUGCCAGCAGCCUCUGGCUCUCUCUUUCCCUGGCUUUCUUCUGGCUGCCUGUCUGUCCAUGGGAAGCUGUUUGCUCUUGGCAUGCUCUGUUUCAGGAUAGGCAAACUUUGUCCAUGAGGAUUGACUUGUUUCAAAGCACAGCUACCAGCACAGGCUUCCUCCUUGCUGUACAGUUUCUACCUUGAAGAAGACAGAAUACAGGACAAAGCAAACGAUGAACAAAUUAACUAAAUGCCAUCCAUGACAAAUCCUGAAGACUCAAUCAACUUGAUGUACAUGGGUUAAAAAAAAAACAAAGUGUUAUGAGUUGCAUUACAUGGCAGACUGAGACAUACCUUAUUUUGAAACAGUAUCAAUCUGGAGAAAUAUUACAUGCAUUCCUACCUGCACUGAAUGAUUGUACAGAAAAAAAAAAGAACAAAACAACAUCCCUGCAAAAAGAAAAAUAACAAGCAAUUUUCCACUGUGUUGUUACAGCAACUUAAAAACACGUAAGUGUAAAAAUAUCUAUUUGUUACUUAUUAAGUAGAUAAUUUGCUUCUUGAGCUAUCAAAUGUGAAUUAAUUUUAAGGAUUUUUAAAGCUGUAAUCCUCAAGCCAUUUAGGUUAUACUGCACUGUUCUCAGGCUAUCCUUGUUCUGAAAAAACAAAAA